rnacentral:rRNA from 1 species
GACGAACGCUGGCGGCGUGCUUAACACAUGCAAGUCGAACGGAAAGGCCCUGCUUGCAGGGUGCUCGAGUGGCGAACGGGUGAGUAACACGUGGGAGAUCUGCCCCUUACUUUGGGAUAAGCCUGGGAAACUGGGUCUAAUACUGGAUAGGACCAUGCUGUAGGUGGUGUGGUGGAAAGAUUAGUUUCGGUAAGGGAUGAGCUCGCGGCCUAUCAGCUUGUUGGUGGGGUAAUGGCCUACCAAGGCGUCGACGGGUAGCCGGCCUGAGAGGGUGGACGGCCACAUUGGGACUGAGAUACGGCCCAGACUCCUACGGGAGGCAGCAGAGGGGAAUAUUGCACAAUGGGCGCAAGCCUGAUGCAGCGACGCCGCGUGGGGGAUGACGGCCUUCGGGUUGUAAACUCCUUUCAGCCAUGACGAAGCCCUUGUGGUGACGGUAGUGGUAGAAGAAGCACCGGCUAACUACGUG